GCAUCAUUGGAUGUGAGAAUUGCUUACUAUAUAUUGGGAAUUGUUUCUGUUUCUUGGAGACAUUGACCAUAGCUUCUUAUUAGUGCCUAGCAUGGUGAAAGAGCUUUAUUGUUAUGCCUUUCUUGGAUUCAGAUUCUUCUAUUCCAUAUGGUCACAAGAAACUUGAGAGUAUUUCACAAAUCUUUACCUUGCCAAAAUAAGGGUGACUGCAAACUCACUUAUUCUGGCCUAUUUAGUUUCUGAUUGCUCUGUUUCUUAUUCGUGUGCUGAGUUAGGAGUUUUCACAAAUUAAAGGUAUGGUGGAACUGUACAUGCCACAGCCAAAAGAUGUAACUGUCCUCUCGCCCCCGCCAUGUCGUUGUUCUAUUCCACAACUAAUGACAUCGGCCUCUGAAGCUGCUCACAGUCGCGGGGAUAGACUGACUUGUAGCAAAGAGCUAGCCACUGAAGAUUAGUGCACACAGGGGCGAAUCAUGGCAUUUCAAAGAGAUGAGCAGAAUACCAAUGUGUGCAGAGAGUAUUUACAUGAGCAUAGAAGAGUGCAAAAAUAUUCGUGGCAUAAACAACUUAAUUACAACAUUGUAGUUGUUGAUGUAUUUCCUGUUCAUACUUGCUGUUUGCUUUUGUUACAAUAUAGCAAUCCUUCACAUCAUUUGGAAAGAAGAUCCCUAACCUUUCUGUUUGUUGCCUGAGAAAUAUAUGUAGUACUCUACUGAGCUCUUACUGAAAUUCUAAUAGUAUUUGCUUUGCUUCUCUUUUGGUGCCAAAAAACAAAUGAAAAAUCAGUAAGUAAAACAAUUUGUGGUAGUCUGAAGGAGUUACAGUUGGCUGCACAACGCAAAUAAUCAGAACUCCAACACAAAUCAAUUUGGAUGGAUUGCAGUCCGUGUCCUUGUCUAAAGCAAAUCAAUGGAGCUGCCGACCUGAAUUGUUGUUGGCUGCUAUAAGAAGGGAGGAUCUUCGACCUGAAUCUCCAUCACGUCAAUUUUGGACGAAGCAUCCAAUGUCGCCACCGAGUUCGCCGCAGGAAGAAGCGCCGAGUUCACCGGAGGUGGAAGAAGUGCCGAGUUCGCCGGAGGUAGAAGAAAAGCCGUCGAGCCGUCCAAUGUCACCUGUGUCGGCUACAGCAGAGGACCUUAAGAUGAGUGAUGAACAUACGUCGAGCCGUCCAAUAUUGCCUGUGGCUGCAACACCAGAGAAAAUGGAUGACAACAUUGAACUUAACAUUGCUGAUGAUUUUGACAACCGACCUUCAAAAAGCAAAAAAAUUUGAAUCAGGUGUUCUGGAGCCACCAAUUAUGUGAACAUCACACCAAAUGGACUGCUCAAAACUUAUUAUAUACACGGAAGUACUGACUAAAUAGGUAAUGCAACCUUUCAAUUUUGCGUCCAUAAAAGCAGUUUCUAAUUCGUACGCUCAUUUACAACAAACUUAGGCAUUUAUGUAAAAUAUUGCAUUACUAUUUUUCUAACCUUAAAUUUAUUACAUGAAUUCUACAGAACAAUCGAACUGUCAAUUGCAGAGUUAGAAUACAGAACUACAUGAUCAUCUUCAAGGAGCACGUCUACACGUACUCCACCACUAGCUCAUUUCAUGAAUAUUUGUUUAUAAUGUGUACAAAAACUUACUCGGGCUUACUUAAAACUAAUAAUUCUGAUUAUCCUAUUUUAUAAUGUGUGUACAAGUAAUACCAAAAUUUAUGGCUCAAAGAAAUACUCUGUAACCUUACUUCUAACUCUUGCAAAAUUUGGAUUAGCAAAAUAUUGCAUAAUGGCACAUCAAGCAAAUUAUACUCAAUUUUUCGCCCGGUGCAACGCACGCGCAUUUGUACGCAUUGCUUCUGGUGGUACGUGGCCGGCAUUUUUGCACAAAAAUCCCUGUACUUUUGAUAAUUAAACCUGCAGUCCUCGUCAUAAGUCAGCCCCGAACCGGUACAGAGGAGAGAAAAUAAGAAAGAAAAUCCCAGCGCCCCGCACGACCCUGCCUCUUCGAUCCCAUCUCCACCUCCAUCCUGCCGCCACCUCCUGCCCCACACCGCGUCGACCGGGACCGCGUCCCUCCCUAAACGGCGGCGAUGAUGGAGGGCGCCGCCCACCUCCUGACCGACGGAUUCGCCGGCUUCCCGCUCCUCAGGGCCAACCCCUCCCCCGUGCCGGGUCUAGCAUCGGCUUGGAGGCCCCAAGGGGCUGCCGCCGGUGCGAGAGUCCCGCGCGGCCGUGGGGCUGGGGCGGUGGAGGCUCCGCUGAGCCGCCGGCAGGCAGGGAGACGGGCUCCUGUUGAGGCGGCGGGGCUUGGUGCGGGCUGGUCUUCCGGAUCGAGCCCUUCCUCAUCUUCCUCUCUUUCGCUUGGCUCCUUCCCUCACAAUUGGUGCCCAGGCGUCGCCAUCGCCAUGGAUGUGCUGCACAACGCGGACGCCUGCUUCUCCCCCGGGAGGGCCAUGUUGCCUCAGGUGCACCCGAGGGGAGGGGGAGGCGGGUGGAGCGCCUGCAUCAGCGUGUCGUGAAACCCCUGCAUGAUUUUGAACAUCUCAGGCAAAAGAAGAUGAUUGGGUUUCCGUGGUUAGGGCUGCUGUCGUCGUGCUUCAUCAGCGUCGUCAUUGCAGGAUUCAUUUUCUACAAGUACUGUCUUGGGAGUAAGGAAGCAGAGGUUAAUCCAAGCUCAGUCCGUUGGUAUGCCCCAUGGCUGGAUUUGCUUGCUUUGCUGUGUACUGGAGGUGCUCAAUGAAAUCUGUCAGUUUGCUCUUGGUCUUGGAGGAUUACGGAAGAGGAUAUGUAGAUCCUUCCAAUCCCUAGCAAUGUACUAGAAGUUAUAAAUGGUGGUCAGUAUCAGAUGGUUGUGGCUGAAACCAGACAUCUUCACUGAGAUUUAGAUGGACAGGAUAAGAGUGUCGAGAAAGCAUUGGAAUUCAGACCAUAAGCCUUUUUCUACAAUAAUGGACUAACAAAAAACAAAGAAAAACAUGAACCUGAAUGUCUAGACAUGAAGUAAUCAAAUAAUUCUAUACCAUGGCUUACUGAUGCAAAUAUGUUGUCUACUAGGUAGUUAUGCAAACAUCUGUUCCACCUAGGUUCUUGCUUAUACACACUUGUACUUUCUGUUGUUGUAGUUAAUUAAAAAUGUUUGUUAUUUAAUUUGGUUUCUGAAGAUGCUAUCAUUGUAGUGUUAAUUAGUCUCAAUCUUUUAAUGUAAAAUACUCUUAACUAAUGGUUUGCCAUAUAGCCAUGGAAUGUAUAUAGUUUGGUUCGGGCACCCUGAAAUAAAGUAAAUGUUUCCUUUGUUUGUUUUUUUCUUCCAUAGCAAGGAUUGAAUCAUUAGAACCCAAAAGGGAGUUUCAUGGAAUGUAUAUUCUAUUUGCUGGGUGGGCGGCCUCACUGAAUUGGUUGUCUCUGUUUUUCUGUGCCCUCCUGUGCCAUUGGAUUGGAUGGCGUCAUUGUCGCCGCAGCCACUACAUGUCGGAGCUGUUGCGGGAGCACCAGAAGCUUGUCCUGUUUCACGCAGGUGCUACCAAUCUACAUCAAGCUGUUGGGCCACGAGAUAAUGCGGGUGUCCUCCUUGCUUAAGCAACAUCAUGGUGGGGACCUUCAGAGGUUGCCGUCAGUGGCGAGUCCAAACCAGAUGCAUCAUCAUCCUCCGCCACCAAUGCCUAAUUUCUGUGGAAAUGGUUUUGGCCCGUGGAACCACGGUGCGCAUCUAGAGAUUGUCUUUGAGAAUAAUUUGAUGAACCACCAUGUCGCUCUUCAAUCUGGUUCCAUGGGAAAGUAAAUUACAUCGCUCGAGCGGGUCAACAUAGCCUACAGAUGCAGGAUACAUUUCUAGAGCUGAAAUUUCAGGGCAUCAAGAAGUAAUUAACUAUGCUUCAAGCAAGGAAGUUAUUUGGUAUAACUUUUUUGAGGACUAAUUUACUAGCUUAAUGUUUGGAAGUUAAUGAGCUGCAGAUAUGGCAUGUGCGUACAUGAAGACCUGAUGCAUCAAAGCUCGGUGUGGACACCUCUUCUUACAUGACAUGUUUGUCUACAACUUAUCCGAGCUUCAAUUUCCAGAAUAAAACACAUGUUUUUAUUUAUUAUGGUUUCUUCUCUUAGAUAACCAAACAUUUUGCAGAUGUUGAUUUUUCAUUUCCUUCCAACGCCAUUAAAUCCCAGUGUUUUCUAAUUUGAAAUGGCUCCCCUCAGUAUCA